rnacentral:rRNA from 1 species
UACGAAGGGUGCAAACGUUGCUCGGAAUUAUUGGGCGUAAAGCGCACGUAGGCGGCUUUGCAAGUCGGAUGUGAAAUCCCUCGGCUUAACCAAGGAAGUGCAUCCGAAACUGCAGAGCUUGAGUACUUAAGAGGAUCGCGGAAUUCCCGGUGUAGAGGUGAAAUUCGUAGAUAUUGGGAAGAACACCGGUGGCGAAGGCGGCGAGCUGGUCCAUUACUGACGCUGAGGCGCGACAGCGUGGGGAGCAAACAGG